rfam:Bacillus alcalophilus ATCC 27647 = CGMCC 1.3604 strain AV1934 contig00037, whole genome shotgun sequence.
AUGAAUCUUCGGGGUUAGGUGAAAUUCCUUACCGGCGGUGAUGAUUUAUGAUAAAUCUAAGCCCGCGACUCUUUAAGUGCUAGUCAUUUAAGGACUGACUUGGUGACAAUCCAAGGCCGACGGUUAAAGUCCGGAUGGGAGGAGAUCGAA